CCAGACCUACAGAAGGGCUUUACUAGCUUUCGGAGCAGUGACAUGUCAACUGGCCCAGGACUUGAUUCUCUUAUAAAUUAAACAAUAUCAGUCAUUACAAAUGAUGGAUGUAACAUUGUGGGGCUCUGAAAGGGCUUUGACCUGGCAGCACAUAAUAUUCUUGAUGAACGUCAUGAACGUGUUUACUCCACAAAGGAAGGUGUGCAGCGAAGUCCAUCUCAGUUCAAGCCCUUUUCUGUUUUUCUUUUCCCUUUGUUCUUAUAUCAGAUACAACAGAAAGCAGAAGAAAGGAAAUUGCCGCAUUUCGAUUUUUUUCCAUCUCCGUUUUUCUUUUUACUUUACUUUAGCUCUGUGUCUGCCUCAAAGUAAAUUCUGUUAAUGAAAAUAUUUUUAUCGGAAUAUUCCAUGUUCUGUUUUCACAGAAGCAUUGUCGGAGAACUAGAUGAGGAGCUUGAUUCCAAUCUGGACUUGUCCAAACUGAGAGCUUAUCGCCUUAAGCCUGUAAUUAAGUGAUCAUGUGCCAACACUGUCAGAUAAGCAAGCCAGUCAGAGGGUUUGUUUACCAGGCUUUGCAGUGUAUCGUUUCUAUGACAUAAUACAUGUGCUACAUCAGAGUUUCGUGCAUUUUAUUUCGUCCUAAUCGUAUAGGUUGGUCAAUGAUCUGUCUAGAGAAAACUUAGUACUAUUUGUGAUUCUUGCUGAUGCAGAAAUGUGGUUGACGACCUAUCUAAUGGGCAGUCAGCAGUUGUAUCAUCAGGAAACUGAAAGGUCGCUGACGGCCCAUCUUUGGUAUGUUACAAACUAAACGUUGAUUUUGAAUAUUUGGGUUGUUACUUGUUA